GAUGAACGCUGGCGGCGUGCCUAAUACAUGCAAGUCGAGCGAACGGACGAGAAGCUUGCUUCUCUGAUGUUAGCGGCGGACGGGUGAGUAACACGUGGAUAACCUACCUAUAAGACUGGGAUAACUUCGGGAAACCGUAGCUAAUACCGGAUGAUAUUUUGAACCGCAUGGUUCAAAAGUGAAAGACGGUCUUGCUGUCACUUAUAGAUGGAUCCGCGCUGCAUUAGCUAGUUGGUAAGGUAACGGCUUACCAAGGCAACGAUGCAUAGCCGACCUGAGAGGGUGAUCGGCCACACUGGAACUGAGACACGGUCCAGACUCCUACGGGAGGCAGCAGUAGGAAAUCUUCCGCAAUGGGCGAAAGCCUGACGGAGCAACGCCGCGUGAGUGAUGAAGGUCUUCGGAUCGUAAAACUCUGUUAUUAGGGAAGAACAUAUGUGUAAGUAACUGUGCACAUCUUGACGGUACCUAAUCAGAAAGCCACGGCUAACUACGUG
rnacentral:rRNA from 1 species